rnacentral:rRNA from 1 species
GUGGGGAAUAUUGGGCAAUGGGCGCAAGCCUGACCCAGCAACGCCGCGUGAAGGAAGAAGGCUUUCGGGUUGUAAACUUCUUUUACCAGGGACGAAACAAAUGACGGUACCUGGUGAAUAAGCCACGGCUAACUACGUGCCAGCAGCCGCGGUAAUACGUAGGUGGCGAGCGUUAUCCGGAUUUAUUGGGUGUAAAGGGCGUGUAGGCGGGACAGCAAGUCAGAUGUGAAAACCAGAGGCUCAACCUCUGGCCUGCAUUUGAAACUGUUGUUCUUGAGUGUCGGAGAGGUAAUCGGAAUUCCGUGUGUAGCGGUGAAAUGCGUAGAUAUACGGAGGAACACCAGUGGCGAAGGCGGCUUUCUGGACUGUAACUGACACUGAGGCACGAAAGCGUGGGGAGCAAACAGGAUUAGAAACCCCAGUAGUCC